rnacentral:rRNA from 1 species
GGGAUAACACUUGGAAACAGGUGCUAAUACCGGAUAACAACAAUAGCUGCAUGGCUAUUGCUUAAAAGGCGGCGAAAGCUGUCGCUAAAGGAUGGACCCGCGGUGCAUUAGCUAGUUGGUAAGGUAAUGGCUUACCAAGGCGACGAUGCAUAGCCGAGUUGAGAGACUGAUCGGCCACAUUGGGACUGAGACACGGCCCAAACUCCUACGGGAGGCAGCAGUAGGGAAUCUUCCACAAUGGGCGAAAGCCUGAUGGAGCAACGCCGCGUGAGUGAAGAAGGUUUUCGGAUCGUAAAGCUCUGUUGUUGGUGAAGAAGGAUAGAGGUAGUAACUGGCCCCUAUUUGACGGUAAUCAACCAGAAAGUCACGGCUAACUACGUGCCAGCAGCCGCGGUAAUACGUAGGUGGCAAGCGUUGUCCGGAUUUAUUGGGCGUAAAGCGAGCGCAGGCGGAAAGAUAAGUCUGAUGUGAAAGCCCCCGGCUUAACCGAGGAAUUGCAUCGGAAACUGUGUUUCUUGAGUGCAGAAGAGGAGAGUGGAACUCCAUGUGUAGCGGUGGAAUGCGUAGAUAUAUGGAAGAACACCAGUGGCGAAGGCGGCUCUCUGGUCUGUAACUGACGCUGAGGCUCGAAAGCAUGGGUAGCGAACAGGAUUAGAUACCCUGGUAGUCCAUGCCGUAAAC